AGGAGUAGAAAAUCAACUUAUAAGGACCAAAUGAUGGUGCAAAUUUUACUAAUUUCAAGUUAAGAAAUGAUUGUAACUUAACACCAUCAUGGAGUGAAUCCUAAAUGUUAAAGCAAAUAACGAAUUAAGGAAAUGCAGUAAAAAUGACUAAAGGUAAAGAUAUCCAAUUUCACAAGGAAGCAAAUAGUGCUAGUCCAUCAAAAUGCAGCUGCAAGCUAAAAGACUAUUCUAUCCAGCAAUCAAGUAGGAGGAAGAAAUGAAAAUUACAACUCUUUGUUAUCUUCCAUCCAAAUGUAAACAGCAGUGCUGUACUUCUCCAGAGAACUUCUACCCUCUUUCUUGGGAAGAAGGGGGAAGCAUCACUGAGGACAGAUAAGAAAAAUUUCUCACUUUCGGCUAUGACUUUCAUCCUGCUGCCAGACCAUAACUGACUGACCUAUACAUAAAACUUUAUUCGGUUUUAUCAACUAUUUUAGGUGAAUAUUUGAAAAAAUCAUACGCUUCAAGGAGAACAAGGCUUUGGUGAAGAAAUGGACCAUGGACUUAAGGUGAGAAUUGCUCAAGACCAUAUAAGGAGACAAACAACCCAUCCCUCAGUCAAUGUGGGACACUUAACAAUUUUCAAUUUGACCAAGGAAAACUCUUUCUCAUAUCACACCUAUUACAGAGUAUUUGUUAGUGCUCAAGUUUAUUUUGAUCCUGUUACGUCCCGUAUUUUUAUACAUUGGGACAACCCGGAUUAACUAUGACAAUUAAGGGCCAAGACUAUUCCGGGAUUUGAAGUCGGGACUUUUGACCAUUUGAUUUUAUUUUGAGACAUAAGUUGAAUAUGAAAUUGAGGGCAUUGGACACUUAGGAAAAAUUGGGACCACAAUUCAUAAAAUUGGAAUUUAAAAAUCUUGCACCAAAAGCCAUGGUGGCCGUGUGGACUUGAAAUGGUCAGCCAAUUUUAAUUGUCCAACACAUGUGUGGGCCAUAAACAAAGGGAGAUAUUUGUGGAUACUUAAAAAAAAAAAAGACUAAGUCAUCUUUCUCAUUUCCCACUUCUACACUUAAAGAAAAAUAACAAGACUUGGAGAGCCUCCACUCCCCCAUGGUUCUCGGCCACAACCAAGAAAAAUCAAGUCCCAUUUUUGCCUCUCUAAAAUUAUUUCUUUGGUAUAAACCCACUAUUUGGAGGUCCCUAAGUAGCGUGGAAGUAUUGUUUGGGUCAUUCAACCACUCAUUUUGCCCAUUUGCAAACCCUAGCCUAUUGGUGGAUUGGAGAAUAAAGACCUUGGGGAGCCCGAGGCGUAGAUUUGGAUUAGCGUUAGAUUGGCUAGCUUGGAGUGCGUAUAAGGUACAGACGCACAGUUUGGUGAUCCACCAGUUUAGGACACCAUCAUCUGCUGUUUGGAGUGCUCCUCUUAUUCCGGAGCCUACAUUUUGGUAUAUAUACUUGUUUGAUGCAUAUGUAUAUAUUUGUUCAGGGGUACGGCGGGGCGCUGUUCCGCCAUAUGAUCCGUUUGGUCUGUUUAGAGGUCUGUAGACGUAUUUGUGGGUGUGUGUGCCUACUUCUGUACAGAUGUGUUUAUAUGACCCUGUUCGUUAUGGCAGCCUUGUCGGCGUGCACUUUGUAUAUGUUUUGGGCCGUUGCGCCAUCUGUUAGCCUUGCCGGCUUUUUGAUAUAAGUAUAUGUAUAUGUUUGCGCUGAAAUGUGUCCGAUACAGUUUGACAUAGUUUGAGACGACAUAUAGUGUUUAUGGCCGUAUAUGCUAUUUGGAUGUGAUCAGAUAUGGAUAGGUAUGUCAGGGUGCCCAAGUAGGGCGCCAGUCACGGCCUACGGGGUUGGGUCGUGACAUUAAGAACUGUUAUUGUUGAACUGUUAUAUUCGUUCGCUAUGUAUAUAUGUAUUUGUUCAGGGGCACGGCGGGGCCCUGUCCCGCCAUAUGAUUCGGUUUGUCUGUUUAGAGGUCUGUAGACGUAUUUGUGGGUGUGUGUGCCUACUUCUGUACGGAUGUGUUUGCAUGACUCUAUUCGUUAUGGCAGCCUCGUCGGCGUGCAUUUUGUAUAUGUUUGUGGCAGCCUUGUCGGCGUGCGUUUGUAUAUGCGUUUUGGGCCGUUGUGCCAUUUGACAGCCUUGUCGGCUUUUGACAUAUUUGAUAGCCUUGCCGGCUUUUUGAUAUA